rnacentral:rRNA from 1 species
AGAGUUUGAUCAUGGCUCAGAACGAACGCUGGCGGCAGGCCUAACACAUGCAAGUCGAACGAGAAGCCACCUUCGGGUGGUGGACAGUGGCAGACGGGUGAGUAACGCGUGGGAACGUGCCUUUCGGUUCGGAAUAACCCAGGGAAAUUUGGGCUAAUACCGGAUACGCCCUUCGGGGGAAAGAUUCAUUGCCGAAAGAUCGGCCCGCGUCGGAUUAGCUAGUUGGUGGGGUAAUGGCUCACCAAGGCGACGAUCCGUAGCUGGUCUGAGAGGAUGACCAGCCACACUGGGACUGAGACACGGCCCAGACUCCUACGGGAGGCAGCAGUGGGGAAUAUUGGACAAUGGGCGAAAGCCUGAUCCAGCCAUGCCGCGUGGGUGAAGAAGGCCUUAGGGUUGUAAACCCCUUUCAGCGGGGAAGAUAAUGACGGUACCCGCAGAAGAAGUCCGGCUAACUCCGUGCCAGCAGCCGCGGUA